GAUGAACGCUGGCGGCGUGCCUAAUACAUGCAAGUCGAGCGAACAGACGAGGAGCUUGCUCCUCUGACGUUAGCGGCGGACGGGUGAGUAACACGUGGAUAACCUACCUAUAAGACUGGGAUAACUUCGGGAAACCGGAGCUAAUACCGGAUAACAUGUUGAACCGCAUGGUUCAACAGUGAAAGACGGUCUUGCUGUCACUUAUAGAUGGAUCCGCGCCGCAUUAGCUAGUUGGUAAGGUAACGGCUUACCAAGGCAACGAUGCGUAGCCGACGUGCGAGGGUGAUCGGCCACACGAGAACUGAGACACGGUCCAGACUCCUACGGGAGGCAGCAGUAGGGAAUCUUCCGCAAUGGGCGAAAGCCUGACAGAGCAACGCCGCGUGAGUGAAGAAGGUCUUCGGAUCGUAAAACUCUGUUAUUAGGGAAAAACAAAUGUGUAAGUAACUAUGCACGGCGUGACGGUACCGAAUCAGAAAGCCACGGCUAACUACGUG
rnacentral:rRNA from 1 species